ensembl:processed_transcript 4931415C17Rik RIKEN cDNA 4931415C17 gene
AGUCCUGGAAACGGGGAUACUGAGAUGGAGAGGCUUGAGCGCUGCCGCAAAGGAAAAAUCAGACGCAGACACGAGAAAUUCUGUGCUGUCUGGGACGCAGGAGGAGGAGAGUCCUCGUCACUGGGAGCCCAGCUCCGCCGCUCCUGCCCGGAUGCUCGGUGGUCCGCAGAAAGCUCCCUUCUUAGUCGCUGACUCAGGACUAUGAUGGCAGUGGCACUCAGAGGUGGCUUAAUGGAGAGCAUACCUUUAUUCGUCUUUUGCUCGCAGAUCUCUUAGCCACCCUUCCCUGCCCGCUCUGUGAUGUACAGAAUGCGGACACACUCACUCCCUGUACAAAUGGUACCUGCUGGAGCUCAGCCAGUUGAAGCCAACGAUAGAAACUGCAAGAGGAGACUCUCGGCUUCAGCCUGGAAUUUGACUACGACUCUAACAAGCCGAGACUCUCAACACUCAGCUCUCAGCCCAUUCUUAGCUCCAGCCUAUUUUGUACCACCCACACAGAUGAUGCUCCAUCAGAAGGUCUAGAAUAAGGCCAUAGUGAAUAACUAUCAGUCAUUCCUGGUGUUUCUUCCACCCCGGGGCCAGUAGCUAACCUUCAGGCUACACCAGAAGAGAGGGAGACUCGCCUGCGCCUUUUGGAACCUAAGGUGUUGCACCUGGGCGCACCCUACCUGAGGAGGUUCAACUAUGCAUCAUUCUGCCUACUUCAUACAGGUGGCUGAGGCUGGAGGCAGAUGCUCGGAGCACUGAUCCAUCCAUUAGCUGGCCUGUGCUGCCCUCUGCCGGCCAGUGGGGUUUAACAGCCACCCUAAGCCGAGAGAGACCUGGAAUUGGAGCCAGCUGACUGCUUUGAGAGAAAACCUGUUAGGAAUGGACUUUUGAGGGCGUUCCCUUUCCUGUGCAAGUGAGUUUUGGUCCUACAGAGGAAGGGUAAAGCUGGGAAAGUGGCUUGUUUUCAUAAAGUCUGUGAGGCGCUUCCACUCAGGUGCCGAAAGGGAGAUCAGGAGGUAGCAGUGUUCCAAGAAGCCCUCUAACCAACGAUUUCCAAUCUUCCCACCGGUGGCAAAACUCCCAGAGGGCACAGUUUCAAGAUUCAGUUUUUCCACCUUUAAAACGGAGACGAAUGUGACCUUGCAGGAUUUUGAGAGGGUGAGGAUUUCUGUAAAGUGCCAGUGAGGUGUGCAAGCCCUGUCCCUGUGUAAGUGUAGCUGCCAAGCCUCAUCAAAGAAGGUUCUCUUUACACCUAACAGAGACCGUCCCAGAAGACAGCUCGAUACAAUGCAAGAUCACCAGAUCCCAACAGAUACAUCUGCAUCACAGCUCCUGCAUCCACGGCCGAGGGAACUUGGAGGAAGUAGGCGUGGGAAGAUUGUAAGAGCCCGUAUACCAAGAAGUCUGCCGUGAGCAUCUCUCCUGGAAAUGGCUGCAUAAACUAGACCGAAGCAGUGGCAUAUCAGAUGGACAUGUUAACGUGGAAGGGAGAGGUUUUCUUGGGGUUCCACCCCUAGACAAAGACCUACAGGCCACUAGUGGCUGCUGGGAGAGAGAGUUAGCUACUCCCAGAGAUGGACCCCUUUAUUUGUUGCACAAUGCAGAGUGGUCAGCCUUGAAACCAUAUACAGCAGCAAAAGGAACAGGCUUAGCAGGUUGUAUUUACAUAUAAUUGUGAAUACACAUACAUACUAAUCUAUAGAUGUAUGUGAAAAUAAUUUUUAAAGAAGGGUACUUAACUUGAGCACUGGGGCUUGAGAGGGACUGGAGGACAGAGAUCUGGCAGGGGCUGGAAGAAAGUGAGGGGAGCGAUGUAAUUCUAUUGUUAAAAUGUAUUUUUUAAGUGCCUGUGAGGGGCUGGAGACAUGGCUCAGCAGUUAAGAAUGCUGAAUUCUCCUGCAGAUGACUAGGUUCAGUUCUGAACACUCGCAUGCCAGCUCACAACCAUCUAUCUGUAACUCCACAUCCAGGGAUCUGACCCUUCUGACUUCAGUGGCUCCCAGAUGCCCAAAGUACACACACAUACACAUACAAAUAGAAUCGGUAUAUAAUUAAGAGUGCCUGCAGACACCUAGAAAUGGCAGCUGUGAAGAAGGACAUGUAAUUUUCACUAAAUGUCAGGAUGAGAAAUUUAUCAAGAUUCUGUUACAGGUUUUCAGGGUCAAAGCCUGGGUGCUGAAAGUCUAAACUUGACUGUUUAUGCACAGUAUGUUUGUGCUGUGCCCUGUAUGUCAAUUAAAGAUACAAGCAAUAAUAAAAAUCAG